ACGCAACUGAAGAGUCUCAUAUAGGACGAAACACGAGUCCUGAAU
rfam:Schistosoma mattheei strain Denwood, Zambia genome assembly, scaffold: SMTD_scaffold0005058